GAUGAACGCUGGCGGCGCGCCUAACACAUGCAAGUCGAACGAUUAAAGCACCUUCGGGUGUGUAUAAAGUGGCGAACGGCUGAGUAACACGUGGGCAACCUGCCCCUUUCAUUGGGAUAGCCACGGGAAACCGUGGAUAAUACCGAAUACUUCGAGACUUCCGCAUGGAAGACUCGAGAAAGCUCCGGCGGAGUGGGAUGGGCCCGCGGCCUGUUAGCUUGUUGGCGGGGUAACGGCCUACCAAGGCAAUGAUGGGUAGCUGGGUUGAGAGACCGACCAGCCAGAUUGGGACUGAGACACGGCCCAGACUCCUACGGGAGGCAGCAGUGGGGAAUCUUGCACAAUGGGCGAAAGCCUGAUGCAGCGACGCCGCGUGCGGGAUGAAGGCCUUCGGGUUGUAAACCGCUUUCAGCAGGGACGAGGCGAAAGUGACGGUACCUGCAGAAGAAGCCCCGGCUAACUACGUG
rnacentral:rRNA from 1 species